rnacentral:lncRNA from 1 species
GGGGCUUUCCACCCUUGGAUUCAUCUUUCUGGGAAAGACUGGGCGGCUGACCCAAGUGGCCCGUCCCACCAUCGGAUUUUGGAGUUCUGGCGAUGCUCUUUUCAGUCGCAUUGAUGCCUGCGGCUGUUGCUGCUGUUGCAUGGCCUGCACAGCUUCAGUGAGGCCUCUGACCUACUGCACCAGUUGGUCGAAUUGCUCUGUGCCAACUGUCAUUAUCGAAGGAGGAGGUAGAGGCUGGGAGAUCGGAGGUGAGGCCGGAGCCUGAGACCUGGCCGCAGAGGUCGUG